rnacentral:lncRNA from 1 species
AGUAAAGGGCCUUACUGGAUGGGUUUAGGGACUGUAUUUAGCAUCAUAGCCAGAGGGAGGGCUGCCUAGAGAAUACUUGGGGGAAGGGCUCCCUUUUAUUCUGCAGCUGUACUAGAGCUCCAGGAGCCCCCAAACCCUCUGGGCACACCAUUCUGAGCUGUAAGGGUGUGGGGGUGUUGAAGGAAACUGUAUAGAGUGUCCCCUUCUUUCAGCCCCACCAUUGUACGUGGCUUAGUUCUGGCACAGCAAAAGCAUCUGAGCUGUGCCUCAUUCAACCUUGUAAUCUCAGCACUCAGGAGGCUGAGGCAAGAAGAUCAAAAUCCCCAAGCCGAACUGUGCUAAAGUGAGCUCAAGGCUAGCCUGAGCUAAACUUAGGGAGGCUGUGUCACAGAAUAAAAAGUAAAAGAGGUCUGGGGUAGAGGGCUUGCCCAGCCUAUGAGAGGCCCUGGGCUUGCCCUUUAGUACUUCAAUUAAUGAAUGAGCCACUCUCAGAAAAGAGCCUUAAGGCAAUGUAGAGGUUUGACAAAAAAGAAAAAA